GUCGGAGUGGCCCAUGGUGGCUGGAAAUCGUCACUGGUACAUUCGUGAGGAAAUGAGAGCGUGAAGGGAGUGACGUCUUGGUACAAUCACGAGAACAGUUUUGACAGGUGGAUCUUCCGAAAGGACCUCAAGAGUCCGCAGCAUCCCCAGACCACCAUUUGAGAACCACUGAUGCAAACUAACGAAAUAUGAGUGUAGAAUACAAGUUUCUCUCUCAAAGUCAGUGUGGAAAGUCCCAGCACAGAUGAGGGAAAUGAUCUGGGGAGAAUAACCAUAUAAAUGGGGAAAGACUCUGCUUUCAGAUGGCUUUGCAGGCGUCUUCCGGUUCUCAUGCCCCUUGAGAGAGAACCAAAACCGGAAACCAGUGCCGAUUUGUCCUGACUCCAUUUCCUCAACAAAGAUGACCUGGAACUCUCAUCUGCAGACUCCUGUUCAGAGGAAAGGCUUUGGCCCUUUAUCAAAAGACAAAUGUACUUUAAAUAUUUUAAGUAAAAGUAAAAUGUUUACAAGAUAUAUAUGUGGUUAAGUAGCCUUUCCCCACUUAACUUGCCCGAUUAACUACAAUUACAGAUGCUGCGAUGCCGCGGGGACAUUGCAGGACAUCCUCUCCAGCUACGGACUUCCAUGAGGCGAAGGUGCCAGCCUUGCAAAGGCCUGGGAAGGGUGUGCCAGGCAGGGGAACCGCGAGGGCACAGGCCUGGCGCAAGGAAGGGCUUGGCGUGCUUGAGGAACCACUGGGAGUACAUAGGUGUAUAUCACAGUUGUAAGUCCUUCUAGUUCUCCUACGUGGGACACCGCCACAGCAUGGCCUGAUGAGCAGUGCAUAGGUCCGUGCCCAGGAUACAAACUGGCGAACCCUGGGCUGCCAAAGCACAGCGUGAACUUAACCAGUCGGCCAUGGGGCUGGCCCCGGUUUGGUAAAUUUAAACCUCAAUUAAGCAAAGUGUUACCCACCCUCAAAAAGAAUUCGCUUUUCUCAUAAGCAGACCUGUAUUACCAAAAAGUUGUACUGAAUGAUUAUAUUUAAAAUUUUGUCAGUAAAUGUUUGUGGAAAUUGUUUUCUCUCCUGCUAUAUGAGAAAUUACUUAUCUACUAUUUUGCCUCUUGGGCCCGCAAAGUCUAACAUAUUUACCAUCUGCCUUUUUAUGGGAAAUCUUUGCCCACCCUGAGCUACAGCAAGAAGGUAAAGGGGGCAUUCUGGGGGGUAUGAGGCCGUGAGGCCCAGGGGACCCGAUGGCAGGUGUGGUGGCUUCUGUGAGCAUCAGGGUGUGGGGUUAGGAACAGGGGUGCAGGGCCCUGGGGUGCCCUGGCAGGCCCGAAGCGUGACGGUACUUGUGUCCAUGUCACUUGGGAGAAGCUGGGUCAUCAGUUCUGGCAUGGUCUCUGAGGCAGAUGAGGUGACACAGGGAAUGCAGUGGCCAGGGGAGGGGCGGAGGUCUCGCCGGGAACACAUCACUGUCCCAGGUACCUUCCAGCCGCACUCACGCUGUUGCAGUUCUGCUUUGCUUGGGUGAUGCUCUGAUCACUAUCUGUCUGCGCACUAGCCCAGCUCCCUGUGGGCAGGGACCAGGUCUGCUCUCCUGGGACCAUCCAGCAGCGGCUGCUCAGUCAGGGCUCCAUAAAUUCUUGAUGGAAGAACCGGCGGAGGCAUCGGUGAAGGAGCAAACGCACAGCCCCCACCCCAACGCCUGGCCCAGUGCCUUGUGCAAAGCAGACGUUCAGAAAAUACUUGUUAACAAGUUAAAUUUUGACUCUUUGCACACUUCCUAGCUGGAGUGUGUCCCCAUGGUGCCUUUGAGGCAGGCGGGUGGGGCUGAGUCCAGGGGCGGACAACCCACUUUCCAUGAGACUGCCCGCCCCUUCCAGCUAGCCCCCAUCCUGUGGGUGGGAGGCUCCCCCAAGCAGACCCAGGGUGGGGAGGCCGCCUCUGCCAGCAGGAGUCUCAGCUGCGAGACCCUCUGGGAAGAACAAAGUCCUGUUCAUUGCCUUUCCUUUCCCCCUAGACCUCCAGCCACCAGCUAGAGCCCUAAGUGGGUAGGUCCGCAGAAACCUUGGGCCCAGAAGACCCAGGAAGCACUGCCCCAUCCC
rnacentral:lncRNA from 1 species